UUUCCGUAGGUGAACCUGCGGAAGGAUCAUUAAAGAAUUUUCACCGUUCUCUCGAGGAUGGGUCCUCUUCUAAACCGUGUAUACAUACCUUUGUUGCUUUGGCGGGCCGCCUGCUCGGCGUCGGCUUCGGAUGAUUGUGCCCUCCAGAUAACCCCAAUUCUUCGGUUUAGUAUUGUCUGAGUACUAUAUAAUAGUUAAAACUUUCAACAAAGGAUCUCUUGGUUCUG
rnacentral:misc_RNA from 1 species